AUUGAACGCUGGCGGCAGGCCUAACACAUGCCAGUCGAGCGGAUGAAGGGAGCUUGCUCCUGGAUUCAGCGGCGGACGGGUGAGUAAUGCCUAGGAAUCUGCCUGGUAGUGGGGGAUAACGUCCGUAAACGGGCGCUAAUACCGCAUACGUCCAGAUGGAGAAAGUGGGGGAUCUUCGGACCUCACGCUAUCAGAUGAGCCUAGGUCGGAUUAGCUAGUUGGUAGGGUAAAGGCCUACCAAGGCGACGAUCCGUAACUGGGCUGAGAGGAUGAUCAGUCACACUGGAACUGAGACACGGUCCAGACUCCUACGGGAGGCAGCAGUAGGGAAUAUUGGACAAUGGGCGAAAGCCUGAUCCAGCCAUGCCGCGUGUGUGAAGAAGGUCUUCGGAUUGUAAAGCACUUUAAGUUGGGAGGAAGGGCAGUAAGUUAAUACCUUGCUGUUUUGACGUUACCAACAGAAUAAGCACCGGCUAACUUCGUG
rnacentral:rRNA from 1 species